GUCUCCGGUGGCUUAGUGGUUAGAGCGUCCGUCUCAUAAACAGGGAAGUCGCGGGUUAGAGCGUCGGCCAAGUCA